rnacentral:rRNA from 1 species
AUUGAACGCUGGCGGCAGGCCUAACACAUGCAAGUCGAACGAGUGGCGGACGGGUGAGUAAUGUAUGGGAACCUGCCCGAUGGCGGGGGAUAACUACUGGAAACGGUAGCUAAUACCGCAUACCAUUGGAUGUGCCCAGAUGGGAUUAGCUAGUAGGUGGGGUAAUGGCUCACCUAGGCGACGAUCCCUAGCUGGUCUGAGAGGAUGACCAGCCAACCUGGAACUGCGACACGGUCCAGACUCCCACGGGAGGCAGCAGUGGGGAAUAUUGGACAAUGGGGGCAAGCCUGAUGCAGCCAAUCCGGGGUUAUGAAGAAGGCCGUCGGGGUGUAAAGUACUUUCAGCGAGGAGGCGUUACUCGCAGAAGAAGCACCGGCUAACUCCGUGCCAGCCGCCGCGGUAAUUC